UGGUAGAUUUCAUCAGUGAAGCUGUCUGGUCCAGAGCUUUUCUUUGUUGGGGGAUUUAGACAUCACUUUUAAUUAAACUAGUACUUGUUAAGAAAGACUACUCACCCUUCUUUCUUCUGGAAGCUCUGCCUUCCUUUUCUGAGGGAACUUCUCUGCUCGUGCAGCUGUUAGGUUUUACGGAGCUCUGUCAGUCCUUUGUCACAGGACCUUUGAAGCCGGCUUUCUGUCACAUGGGACUAAAAGUAAAGGAAUUUCCAUCCCCCACUCCUGGGCUCCUUUUCAUGUCCUCCUCAGGGUUCUGAUCUGCCCUCUUUCAUCCCUCAUGUCUAAGCUCCUGACCUGUCAGAGGCCCACAUGAAACCACAUACAUUUUUUUUCUUGAUGAGAGACAUGCUUUAUUAUUAUUAUUUUUUUUUACAGCGUUUUUGAAAUAGAAUAGACAGAUCAUUAGUUGCUCAUAUUUACACUGUGAGAUCUGGUGAGUUUUGACAGAUGCACGCACCCACGAAACCAGCACCACAAUUAAGACGAUGAACGUAUCCAUUGCCACCGGUUUCUUCAUGGCCCUUUUUGUGUGGACAGGGGCUUGCAUUUCCCUUGUGCAAAUAUCAAGGAGUGCAAUGGCUGAGUAGUAUGUAAGCCGUACAUUUCACUUUUUAGGAAAUAGCCAGUUUUCCAAAGUGGUUGUAAAAAAUUCACGUUCCCACCAGCAUUACGUGAGAGUUCUAGUUGCUGCACAUCGUUGCCUACUCUUGGUGUGGCUGGUAUUUUGAAUUUUAGCCACUGGAGUAAAUUAUGAACAUGGGAGUAGCUCUAGAGACAGAAGUUCUCUGAAAAACUAGGGGGUAAAUGUUUAUAUACCAGCUUAGUGGGGUGCAGGGGGAAGAGGUCAGGGCUUCCAAGGAUGAAAGGUUUCUAAAGAAGCUCAGUUUUUUUGGGAAUGUCCUGGAGGUGGGAUUUGUGGCUGCUUAUGUGGUAAAGCUCAGGCUUUAGUCAGUAAGGGGAGUUCUGAUAAGAUUUCUUUCUGUGUC